GGAUGAGGACUGGGUUGGGAUUUUAAAAAUGACCCAUUUGAAAAUUUGAUCAGGUUUGGAUCAUAUGUACCCUUAUUUAAUCUCACCUGUGCACUAGAUCUUAAACAGGUCAAGCAUUAGAUGGAUGACUCAGCCGGCUUAAUAUGACUCAACCCGAAAAUUGUUGACCUACCUAACCCUCAGUAGCUCACCAUAUUGUAGAUUCUGCAACAAGGCUGUGUAAUUGUAGGUUGAAUUCUCAACUGAUCAAAGUUCUACUAUGUUCUUCUUGAUGAAGUUAGUAAUUUCUAUCAACAUUAACAAUCCUCUGUGUUCUCC
rnacentral:lncRNA from 1 species